GCUUAAUACAUGCAAGUCGUGGGGCAGCGCAGUGUAGCAAUACAUGGGCGGCGACCGGCAAACGGGUGCGGAACACGUACACAACCUUCCUACAAGUGGGGAAUAGCCCAGAGAAAUUUGGAUUAAUACCCCGUAACAUAUAAAGAUGGCAUCAUUUUUAUAUUAUAGCUACGGCGCUUGUUGAUGGGUGUGCGGCUGAUUAGGUAGUUGGCGGGGUAAUGGCCCACCAAGCCUGCGAUCAGUAGCUGAUGUGAGAGCAUGAUCAGCCACACGGGCACUGAGACACGGGCCCGACUCCUACGGGAGGCAGCAGUAAGGAAUAUUGGACAAUGGGCGCAAGCCUGAUCCAGCCAUGCCGCGUGAAGGAUUAAGGUCCUCUGGAUUGUAAACUUCUUUUAUAAGGGACGAAAAAAGGGAAUUCUUUCUCACUUGACGGUACCUUAUGAAUAAGCACCGGCUAACUCCGUGCCAGCAGCCGCGGUAAUACGGAGGGUGCAAGCGUUAUCCGGAUUCACUGGGUUUAAAGGGUGCGUAGGCGGGUAUUUAAGUCAGUGGUGAAAUCCUAGAGCUUAACUCUAGAACUGCCAUUGAUACUAUUUAUCUUGAAUAUUGUGGAGGUAAGCGGAAUAUGUCAUGUAGCGGUGAAAUGCUUAGAUAUGACAUAGAACACCUAUUGC
rnacentral:rRNA from 1 species